UGCCAGCAGCCGCGGUAAUACGGAGGGAGCGAGCGUUAAUCGGAAUUACUGGGCGUAAAGCGCGCGUAGGCGGCUUUGUAAGUCGGAUGUGAAAGCCCUGGGCUUAACCUGGGAACUGCAUUCCAAACUGUCAAGCUAGAGUAUGGUAGAGGGAGGUAGAAUUUCCUGUGUAGCGGUGAAAUGCGUAGAGAUCUGAAGGAACAUCAGUGGCGAAGGCGACUACCUGGACUGAUAUUGACGCUGAGGUGCGAAAGCGUGGGGAGCAAACAGGAUUAGAUA
rnacentral:rRNA from 1 species